rnacentral:rRNA from 1 species
AUUGAACGCUGGCGGCAUGCCUUACACAUGCAAGUCGAACGGCAGCGGACCUUCGGGUGCCGGCGAGUGGCGAACGGGUGAGUAAUAUAUCGGAACGUACCUUUCAGUGGGGGAUAACGUAGCGAAAGUUACGCUAAUACCGCAUAUUCUGUGAGCAGGAAAGCAGGGGAUCGCAAGACCUUGCGCUGAUUGAGCGGCCGAUAUCAGAUUAGCUAGUUGGUGAGGUAAAGGCUCACCAAGGCGACGAUCUGUAGCGGGUCUGAGAGGAUGAUCCGCCACACUGGAACUGAGACACGGUCCAGACUCCUACGGGAGGCAGCAGUGGGGAAUAUUGGACAAUGGGGGCAACCCUGAUCCAGCCAUGCCGCGUGUGUGAAGAAGGCCU